AGGCACUAUGCUAUGCAAUUGUGAGCCAGAGAUGGAGACAUAGCCCCUGACAAGGCUGUUGUGUGUGGUUGCCCAGCUUGAGCACUGCACAAAAUUGCCUCAUCCAUUGCAGAGGGCAAAGGAGGAUGAGGCUUGAAAUUUAGCCCAAGUUCUGCUCAUAAACCUUGGCCCUGACCCUGGCUACAUUGCACAAAUUCUACAAGCCAAGAUGUGUCUAUGAAGCUGACGCUAACCAGAGGCGGAAGAGCAUUACAAAUUGAGUGAAGCUCCUAGUUGGGUUAACGGCAGCCCUGGCCCCAGGAUCUCAAAAGCAGCCUGAAAAGCAGAUGAUGACAAUGGAACAUGGAUAUGCAGCCCCUGGGGCGAACCUGAGUGUUUGAAAUGCAUGGCAACAAUGUUUAAUUCAUGGCAACAAUGAAUCAGUGCUCUAAGGAAGAAAGAAGUGAAUGGCAAGAUUGCACUUGCCCUCACAGGACUGCCAGCCAGAAACUACAUUUCCCAGCAUCCCUUGCAGCUUGGUAUGGCCAUGUGACCACAUUCUCAUUAAUACAGGGGAAAGAAAUUUUCAAAACUAUGGGAGUAG
rnacentral:lncRNA from 1 species